rnacentral:rRNA from 1 species
GACGAACGCUGGCGGCGUGCUUAACACAUGCAAGUCGAGCGGUAAGGCCUUUCGGGGUACACGAGCGGCGAACGGGUGAGUAACACGUGGGUGAUCUGCCCUGCACUUCGGGAUAAGCCUGGGAAACUGGGUCUAAUACCGGAUAUGACCUCCUAUCGCAUGGUGGGUGGUGGAAAGAUUUAUCGGUGCAGGAUGGGCCCGCGGCCUAUCAGCUUGUUGGUGGGGUAAUGGCCUACCAAGGCGACGACGGGUAGCCGACCUGAGAGGGUGACCGGCCACACUGGGACUGAGACACGGCCCAGACUCCUACGGGAGGCAGCAGUGGGGAAUAUUGCACAAUGGGCGCAAGCCUGAUGCAGCGACGCCGCGUGGGGGAUGACGGCCUUCGGGUUGUAAACCUCUUUCAGCAGGGACGAAGCGCAAGUGACGGUACCUGCAGAAGAAGCACCGGCUAACUACGUG